rnacentral:misc_RNA from 1 species
GCGAAACCCUCUGCGGUGCCGGUCUGCGUGCCGAAGAACAGCACGACUUUCUUCCGCCCGUCAUCCACCUCCGGCUCGGCCUCUGUCUUCACCAAUAACGGCUUCGGUAGUACAGGCGGCCGGCUGGGCUUAUCAGCGGCGGAUCGGCGCCAGACGAAGAUGACCGCACAGCCGGCGAGGACGGCGACAGCGGUGGUGAGGAUCAUGAGGAGCUGCCGGCUAUCGCCGGCGUGGCCCGCCUCCGGCGGGAGUGCUAGCUUGCCGGAGAAGAUCGCCGACAUGAGAUCGAGAGGGGAGAGCUUCACCGAUGACUCCGCAGACAUGGAUUGGAAUUGAU